rnacentral:rRNA from 1 species
UACGUAGGGUGCGAGCGUUAAUCGGAAUUACUGGGCGUAAAGCGUGCGCAGGCGGUUCGUUGUGUCGGCGGUGAAAGCCCCGGGCUCAACCUGGGAAUGGCCGUUGAAACUGGCGAACUUGAGUGUGGCAGAGGGGGGUGGAAUUCCAGGUGUAGCAGUGAGAUGCGUAGAUAUCUGGAGGAACACCGAUGGCGAAGGCAGCCCCCUGGGCUAACACUGACGCUGAUGCACGAAAGCGUGGGGAGCAAACAGG